rnacentral:tRNA from 1 species
GCCGCUUUAGCUCAAUUGGCAGAGCAGCUGAUUUGUAAUCAGCAGGUUGUAGGUUCGAUUCCUAUAGGCGGCACCA